CACUUCCCACUUUUUAGUUCAGUGCUCUUUUUAGUCUGACUUGUCUGUCUGGAACUCCCUAUCCUGCCUCUCCUGCUGCUGUGGCUUCCCACUUCUCCUGAAAAUCCACCUUUUAUACCCAUCCUUGAUGAAGCUUGAGCAGUGCUCUCUCACGAUAAGCUUUUCUAAGUCUCAAGACAAGGUCCAAUAGUUCCAGAAAUCCUUGUGAACAUUACAACAUAGGUAAGAUGAAUCUUAUAAGCCUUAAUUAAAGUAUUCUGAGAUACCUGGUAUUUGUAUGUCAGCUCCUCCUUUUC
rnacentral:lncRNA from 1 species